GCAGAGAAAACAGUGUGUGGGAAGACCCUGGGGAAAGGAGGAACCAGAGGCACAUUUGCAGACCUGAAGGGAAGCAUUGUGGCUGGAGUAUCCCGAGGAGCUGGAGAGGGAACGCAGGCAUCCCUGAACAACACCAAAACUGCCUGAAAUAGUAGCCUCACACAGUGGGCUCUCAGAAAAUCGUGUGCUGAAAACAGACCAGAACCACAGAAAAUGCCAAGAGAGGUUAAGAUAGAAAAUGGUUGAAGGGGAAGAAGGAAAACUAGGAAAGACGAUACCAAAGAAACCAAAAGAAGAGAUAAAAACUGUCAAAAAUAUGUGGCUGGUAACUUGUGAGGCCCUCUCAAGGGAUAACAUUAGCUCCUCUGAACAAUCUGGACAAGAGAUAUCAACCCACCAGGCAGGGGAUGCUGGCAGUGGGGCUCCUGGGAAAUGAGCAUGUGUCUGAUUUCCCACGGAGGUCAUCUAACGCUGCACCCCAAGAAAAGCCUGUAUGGGAGCAGCGGUGACCGCGGGACCACUGGCUAGGAGGCUACUGCGACAGCACAGGAGAGAGCUGCUGAGGGCUUAGACCCAGGCUGUGAGAAGUGGGCUGAUUCUGGAUUCAUCUAGAAGACAGAGAACAAAGGAUUUCCUAAUGGAAUGGAAUGGAUGGUGAGAUGCACAUCUGAAUUAAAGACUCCUUUGGGAUUUGGGGCUUGACAAACUUGAUACAGGGACGGUAUCUUUCACGUAGGAGUUUCAUGACCUGUUUCAGAGAAGAGGAGAGGGGGGAAAGGUCAGAGUGCCCUUCCUGCUUCUGCCUUUUAGAAAAUUCCUGCAGUUUAAGAAAAAAACAAAUCACCCCAGCACCCCCUCUGGACAGACACUGCCAUGCAGAAGGUCAACUUGGAAGUGAAUGGUUCCUUUGAACCCCUUAGAAACAGGAACCUCACUCAACAGGAUGCAUCCCUGAGCCAGGGCUUCUGGCUUAGCAAGAAGAGGUCCGGUGUUCCCGUCAGAUUGGAAGUUACUGUGCAGGCACUCCUGUGCCCCUGCACAAUCUGGCUGGAGUAGAUGACGAAAACUCAAAGUCUCUGGGCAUUUUGCGGAAAAAGGAAGAAGCAACCUUCCAGAAGCAGCGACUAAAAAUAAGAACACUAACUCCCUUCCCCCAACUCAACUGUAUGUGAGUGUGAAAGGAAAGGAAUCAUUUUCUGUGGAAUCAGUAUCCUCAGGGAGUAUCCACGCUCUAGUAGAAGAAGGUAAAGAUACUUUCACAGACCUAUCGUGAUGAGCGUAUAGGGAUUUUACCCGUGAAAAGUAAUGUGUCUCAUAGGCACAAUGGAGGGGUCUGAGGAUGAGACUGGAUCUUGGGCUUCUUGUGAAGAUUAAAAUAAUUUUGGAUGAAGAGAAUAAUAGGAUUAAUCCUGAUUGCAUCUUGAGAUGAGAUGAAUAAUCAAUUCUAAUUAUUACCUCCUUUCAUCAAGAAUUCUGGGACUUCCUUGGUGGUGCAGUGGUUAAGAAUCCGCCUGCCAAUGCAGGGGACACGGGUUUGAGCCCUGGUCUGGGAAGAUCCCACAUGCCACGGAGCA